GCACACUUUGUGAUGUUUGAUGAAUAAAGCUACCCCUCAAAAAAGUGACACAAUAAAAUGUACUUAAUACAUGAUGAACAUUUCUUAGAAAUAGUGGUCAAUUACAUCAUAUAAUUUGGUUCUGUACAAAAAAAAAGUUUCCUCUUUUGUGUAUAUAUCCUAAACACCACCCCUUGCGAUGAACUCUUUGUAUUUGUCCACAAAUUUGGUUAUUCCCCAUCCAGCAUGUCAGUUGCAGUCUCCUGAAGCAUAAGAACAACACAAGUUAAAACAAUCUGGUCAAACAUACACUAAGAAUAUACUCAUGGGCAUUAUCGACAGAUUAAACCAAAGUUAUAGUGCAGCAGGUUCUCUGUAAAGUCAAGUUACCAUGCGGUUUUUACGAACCAAUGGAGAAAAGCCGAAACACUGACCCAAGAAUUAACCUGAGAAGGUCAUUCUUCAAGCUGACUCCUAGCAGAAGAUGAUGCAUCUAAGUGAAGCUGCCUGGAGAUUUCUUAUAUGUCCCUUGCUCUCUACUGCAACAGAUAGUUGGAAUGGCAUAUAUAUAAGAUACGUGAGAGGUACUGACAGAAGCUCACUCUCAAAAGGCACAUUCAGUAUGUGUAUGUAAUGAUAUAGAUGCGUUAUUAAUUAAGUAACCUGAAUAAGUAGUUGCAUAUUUCUUCUAGGUACAACUGUUUACAUAUUUCUUCUAUAUCCAUUGCUCUCUGAUGU
rnacentral:lncRNA from 1 species